UGAUUGAUAAACAUUUGAGUGAGUGGCGGACGGGUGAGUAACACGUGGGUAACCUGCCCUAAAGUGGGGGAUAACAUUUGGAAACAGAUGCUAAUACCGCAUAAAACCUAACACCGCAUGGUGUAGGGUUGAAAGAUGGUUUCGGCUAUCACUUUAGGAUGGACCCGCGGUGCAUUAGUUAGUUGGUGAGGUAAAGGCUCACCAAGACCGUGAUGCAUAGCCGACCUGAGAGGGUAAUCGGCCACACUGGGACUGAGACACGGCCCAGACUCCUACGGGAGGCAGCAGUAGGGAAUCUUCCACAAUGGACGAAAGUCUGAUGGAGCAACGCCGCGUGAGUGAAGAAGGUUUUCGGAUCGUAAAACUCUGUUGUUGGAGAAGAAUGUAUCUGAUAGUAACUGAUCAGGUAGUGACGGUAUCCAACCAGAAAGCCACGGCUAACUACGUGCCAGCAGCCGCGGUAAUACGUAGGUGGCAAGCGUUGUCCGGAUUUAUUGGGCGUAAAGCGAGCGCAGGCGGUUUCUUAAGUCUGAUGUGAAAGCCUUCGGCUCAACCGAAGAAGUGCAUCGGAAACUGGGAAACUUGAGUGCAGAAGAGGACAGUGGAACUCCAUGUGUAGCGGUGAAAUGCGUAGAUAUAUGGAAGAACACCAGUGGCGAAGGCGGCUGUCUGGUCUGUAACUGACGCUGAGGCUCGAAAGCAUGGGUAGCAAACAGGAUUAGAUACCCUGGUAGUCCAUGCCGUAAACGAUGAGUGCUAGGUGUUGGAGGGUUUCCGCCCUUCAGUGCCGCAGCUAACGCAUUAAGCACUCCGCCUGGGGAGUACGACCGCAAGGUUGAAACUCAAAGGAAUUGACGGGGGCCCGCACAAGCGGUGGAGCAUGUGGUUUAAUUCGAAGCAACGCGAAGAACCUUACCAGGUCUUGACAUCCUUUGACCACUCUAGAGAUAGAGCUUUCCCUUCGGGGACAAAGUGACAGGUGGUGCAUGGUUGUCGUCAGCUCGUGUCGUGAGAUGUUGGGUUAAGUCCCGCAACGAGCGCAACCCUUAUUACUAGUUGCCAGCAUUAAGUUGGGCACUCUAGUGAGACUGCCGGUGACAAACCGGAGGAAGGUGGGGACGACGUCAAAUCAUCAUGCCCCUUAUGACCUGGGCUACACACGUGCUACAAUGGAUGGUACAACGAGUUGCGAGACCGCGAGGUUUAGCUAAUCUCUUAAAACCAUUCUCAGUUCGGAUUGUAGGCUGCAACUCGCCUACAUGAAGCCGGAAUCGCUAGUAAUCGCGGAUCAGCAUGCCGCGGUGAAUACGUUCCCGGGCCUUGUACACACCGCCCGUCACACCAUGAG
rnacentral:rRNA from 2 species